AACCUUUGAGUUUCGGUUAUUAUUGAGGCUUCAAGAGUUGUAGAGUUAUUGGACAUCAUUUGGUAGCUCGUUGACGUGCUCAGAGUUGCUUCCGGUUCUUUGAAAUCAAGUUAUACAGGAGUCAUUCCAGGUUCCAUUCCACUUGCCCCUCAGUAGAUCUUAGUCAUUUCGGUGAGCCCUUCUUCUUUCCA